rnacentral:rRNA from 1 species
AUUGAACGCUGGCGGCAUGCCUAACACAUGCAAGUCGAGGGUAGCGGCGGACGGGUGAGUAAUAUAUGGGGAUCUGCCUGAUGGCGGGGGAUAACUACUGGAAACGGGCGCUAAUACCGCAUACUAUCAGAUGAGCCUAUGUCGGAUUAGCUAGUUGGUGGGGUAAAGGCCUACCAAGGCGACGAUCCGUAACUGGUCUGAGAGGAUGAUCAGUCACACUGGAACUGAGACACGGUCCAGACUCCGACGGGAGGCAGCAGUGGGGAAUAUUGGACAAUGGGCGAAAGCCUGAUCCAGCCAUGCCGCGUGUGUGAAGAAGGUCUUCGGAUUGUAAAGCACUUGAAGUUGGGAGGCGUUACCAACAGAAUAAGCACCGGCUAACUUCGUGCCAGCAGCCGCGGUAAUAC